rnacentral:rRNA from 1 species
ACGGGUGAGUAAUGCCUAGGAAUCUGCCUGGUAGUGGGGGACAACGUUUCGAAAGGAACGCUAAUACCGCAUACGUCCUACGGGAGAAAGCAGGGGACCUUCGGGCCUUGCGCUAUCAGAUGAGCCUAGGUCGGAUUAGCUAGUUGGUGGGGUAAUGGCUCACCAAGGCGACGAUCCGUAACUGGUCUGAGAGGAUGAUCAGUCACACUGGAACUGAGACACGGUCCAGACUCCUACGGGAGGCAGCAGUGGGGAAUAUUGGACAAUGGGCGAAAGCCUGAUCCAGCCAUGCCGCGUGUGUGAAGAAGGUCUUCGGAUUGUAAAGCACUUUAAGUUGGGAGGAAGGGCAGUAAGUUAAUACCUUGCUGUUUUGACGUUACCGACAGAAUAAGCACCGGCUAACUCUGUGCCAGCAGCCGCGGUAAUACAGAGGGUGCAAGCGUUAAUCGGAAUUACUGGGCGUAAAGCGCGCGUAGGUGGUUCGUUAAGUUGGAUGUGAAAGCCCCGGGCUCAACCUGGGAACUGCAUCCAAAACUGGCGAGCUAGAGUACGGUAGAGGGUGGUGGAAUUUCCUGUGUAGCGGUG